rnacentral:piRNA from 1 species
UCACCUACCCAUACCCCUAGGCGAGCUGCUA